rnacentral:lncRNA from 1 species
UUGAUAUGAAAUUAAGUCCUAUAAUUGUGAGGACUGAAUCAAAUUAAUUUUGACUAGAUAUGAGGCUUUUGGAGACCAAUUCUCGAGGCAAGGGCAUAGCAAAGUGAGAAAUUACACGGUUUAAGGUAAGUAACACUUUUAAAGUUGGUUAUGAGGGUAUGAAUCCCCGAAUUGGUGUUAUAUAAAUGUUUGGAAGUGACGCACACGAUAGUUGGCGAGCGUGUGGACGUGCACCAUUGAAAUUGUGACUUGAAUAAAUUUCGUGAAGUUGAAAAAUUAAAGAAUCAUGUUAUUAUCUGAACAUUUCCCACGUGUUAGAGAAAUUGAGUUGAGGCUCUUAUUAAAGAUCAUGUUUAGGCUACGUGCCGAUAUUUUGAGACCCAUUGGGUCGUGUUGCUGUUAAAUUAAUUAUUUUAAAAUAUACAUUUCAUACUCAGUCAUGCUCAUCCAUUGUGAGGAUAUGUAUGGGAUCGGGGUUGCCCGCCUGCAGCAGGCCAUAUCGGCUUUAUAAAUAUUAUUAUUAUUAUGGGAUCGGGUUGUACGCGCAACAGGCCUUAUGAGCUUUACUAUUAUAUGGAUCUGGGCUGCCCGCCUGCAGCAUGCCUUAUUGGCUUUAUUAUUAUAUGGAUCGGGGAUGCCCGCCUGCAGCAGGCCUUAUUGGCUUUACUAUUAUAUUUAUCGGGGGUUGCCUGCCUGUAGCAUGCCUUAUUGGCUUUAUUAUUAUAUGGAUCGGGGCUUCCCUCAUGCAGCAAGCCUUAUUGGCUUUAUUAUUAUAUGGAUCGGGGUUGCUCGCCUGCAGCAAGCCUUAUUGGCUUUAUUAUUAUAUGGAUCGGGUUUGCCCGCCUACAACAGGCCUUAUAGGAUUUGCUAUUUUAUGGAUCGAGGCUGCCCGCCUGCAGCAGGCCUUAUAGGCUUUAUUAUUAUACGGAUCGGGACUGCCCGCCUGUAGUAAGCCAUAUCAGCUUUAUAUCACGCUUGGGCUGAAGGAGCCCUUCCGGAGUCUGUACACACCCCCAGUGAGAGUUGAUGAUUAUAUAUUCGGGAUGGACUUCCCAGGGCAUGGACUUGCCUUACUUAUUUAUAUAUAUUAUGAUGAAAUUUCCUUUGAUAUGGAUCUUGUCCGUAUCAUUUACAUUUGGAGAUAUAUUACCCCAGGGCUGGAUUAGCCUUAUACGGUACUAAGUGACUGACUGUCAGUCGAUGUGUGUAUAUAUACGGGAUGGAAUAUCCCUGGGCUGGAUUAGCAGUAAACAGUACCGAGUGACCGAAUAAUUUGUGACCAGUACUUACCUGAGGUCUUUUCUAUUGAGAUAUUAUAUUCCUCAUAUCAUACAGUAUUGAUCCAUUUCACCUGUAUUGGGUUUAACUGUUAAACUUGAAAGCAUGCUUAUAUUUUUGUACUAUUAUUUAUACUGGACUGUACCUGCGGAGCUCGUCACUACUUUCAGCCCAAAAGUUAGUCUUGUUACUUAUUGAGUUGGUUGUACUCAUACUACACUAUGUACCUCGUGUGCAGAUCCUGGUACUUUCGGAUACGUCGACUGUUAGAUCUCAGAGUGCUAUCAGUUGGAGACUAUCAAGGUAGCUGCCUGGAGUCCGCUGACCUUGUCUUUCUUUCUUUCAGUUAUUAUUCUGUUCUAUACUUUCAGACAGUGUUUUAUCAAUCAGACAUUGUAUUCAUAUUAGAUGCUCAUGUACUCAGUGACACCGAGUUUUGAGAGCGUUUUAUAUCUGUAUUUGUGAAAUUUUCUUCUGCUAAAUUUAAAUAUUUUGUUUUCCAACUCAAAAGAUAUGGU